rnacentral:rRNA from 1 species
UACGUAGGGCGCAAGCGUUGUCCGGAAUUAUUGGGCGUAAAGAGCUCGUAGGCGGCCUGUUGCGUCCGCUGUGAAAUCCCGGGGCUCAACCCCGGGCCUGCAGUGGAUACGGGCUGGCUAGAGGCAGGCAGGGGAGAACGGAAUUCCUGGUGUAGCGGUGAAAUGCGCAGAUAUCAGGAGGAACACCGAUGGCGAAGGCAGGUCUCUGGGCAUGUCCUGACGCUGAGGAGCGAAAGUGUGGGGAGCGAACAGG